rnacentral:rRNA from 1 species
GAUGAACGCUGGCGGCGUGCCUAAUACAUGCGAGUCGAGCGAACGGACGAGAAGCUUGCUUCUCUGCUGUUAGCGGCGGACGGGUGAGUAACACGUGGAUAACCUACCUAUAAGACUGGGAUAACUUCGGGAAACCGUAGCUAAUACCGGCUAAUAUUUUGUACCGCAUGGUUCAAAAGUGAAAGACGGUCUUGCUGUCACUUAUAGAUGGAUCCGCGCUGCAUUAGCUAGUUGGUAAGGUAACGGCUUACCAAGGCAACGAUGCAUAGCCGACCUGAGAGGGUGAUCAGCCACACUGGAACUGAGACACGGUCCAGACUCCUACGGGAGGCAGCAGUAGGGAAUCUUCCGCAAUGGGCGAAAGCCUGACGGAGCAACGCCGCGUGAGUGAUGAAGGUCUUCGGAUCGUAAAACUCUGUUAUUAGGGAAGAACAUAUGUGUAAGUAACUGUGCACAUCUUGACGGUACCUAAUCAGAAAGCCACGGCUAACUACGUG